UACGUAGGGGGCAAGCGUUGUCCGGAAUCAUUGGGCGUAAAGCGCGUGUAGGCGGCCCAGUAAGUCCGCUCUGAAAGCCCGGGGCUCAACCCCGGGAGGCGGGUGGAUACUGCUGGGCUCGAGUCCGGAAGAGGCGAGUGGAAUUCCUGGUGUAGCGGUGAAAUGCGCAGAUAUCAGGAGGAACACCGAUUGCGAAGGCAGCUCGCUGGGACGGUACUGACGCCGAGACGCGAAAGCGUGGGGAGCAAACAGG
rnacentral:rRNA from 1 species